rnacentral:rRNA from 1 species
UACAGAGGGGGCAAGCGUUGUUCGGAAUUACUGGGCGUAAAGGGCGCGUAGGCGGCCCGCUAAGUCGAACGUGAAAUCCCCAGGCUCAACCUGGGAACUGCGUCCGAUACUGGCAGGCUUGAAUCCGGGAGAGGGAUGUGGAAUUCCAGGUGUAGCGGUGAAAUGCGUAGAUAUCGCUUGGAACGCCGAAGGUGAAAACAGGCUGCUGGGGUUGCGCCGACGCUGAGACACGAAAGCCAGGGGAGCAAACGGGG